CUGAUUCUUCCAGAGGUCUAACACUAGCCUCUGUAAGUCAGGAAGGCAGCUUAGCAGGCCCACUGGGAAGUAGCAGAUGGAUAGGAAAAUGACAUGCUUUCCAAAAGUAUUUAAAUAUCAACUCUCUUUUGUUACAGCUGUGUAAGAGCCAUAUAAAAUCAAGUAACAUGUAGGAGAGAAAAGGGGUCAUGAAGGAGGAGUUUGAGCAAAAAGUAAUGCUAAAAAAGAAAAAAAAAUCCAUUGCAAAUGGUAAUGUAAAUAAGGUAAAACUUGAAAACUAUGAAGCAAUACUGCAGAUAGUCAUGUCUGAAGGAAUACCUAGAGGGUUCUUUUUGGUGGUGAUCUUCACUCCUGGAUCUGAAUUUUUCUGGACUGUCUCCCUUACCACUUCUGCAGGACACAAUUGCAACAGAAUUUUCCUUGAAUCAACGGAGGACUAUUACUUGAUGAGAUCAUUGUUUUCAGGUAAAUACUUUCCUAUUGUAUAAAUCAUCAUCUUGCAGGUAAUCUGAAGCAGAUAUGCUGCUUGUACAUAAUAAUGAGCUGGUUUCCCCAAUUACCUGUUCUUAUAUCUACUGUGCUGAGGAAUUUGGUCACUUUGAGUAAUCUCCACGCUGCUCAUUACUAACUUGUCUGAAUACAAAUAUAUUUCUAACUGCCAGUGGGUCUUGAGAUAGAUUCAAGACAGGACUAUCAUCAUCUUAGACUGUCAAGGCAAUAGGAUAAGUUAUAAUACUUGUAGACCGAUACAAAGAUGAAACAGGGUAAGUGUUAAGAUAGACAUUUGAGUAAUAAUAUGCUCACAUACAGAUUUCCCCAGGAAGGAAAUACUGUCAACACAGUCAGUGUCUGAGUUUAUCCUCUCAGUGGAAAAGGUGGGUGAAAAACACUUAUUACUUCCUAUGUGCAUAAUUUAAACCUGUGAAACAUACUGCAGAAAUGUAAGGAGCCAUGAAUUUAGACACCGUUUUCAGCUAAAAUAAAGGUUAAAGUUUGUCUGUAGUGUAAGCCUGAGGUUGCAAAUACCCUCAGAAAAUGUUGAGUUUUGUGUGCAAAAGAGUAUGGUAGUGCAAGUCAGGCUGAAGGAGACAAAGUACAAAUUCAGAUAUUUCUAUCAGUAUUUACCUAAAAAUUAAAAAAUGAAACAAUAUUUUCCAAAGUACAGGCACACAGGCAGCAGGCUUGAAAAUUGCAGCAAUUCUCGGUUCUUUGCUUGUUCCAUUAUAUUUAUCAUAUGCUUAGUGCUUUAUGGGACUGGCAGCACAAAAUUUCUGAUUAGAAGUUUGUUCACUGUAGUUCAUCACAAAGUGCCUGUGUUCUUUAUGCUUGGUUGAACCACAAAGAUUCUUGCAGCAACAUUGUGAACAACUGGAUCCCAUAAUAUUUCAUGCAACAAAACUAUUGAACAGAAGGCAUGAUUUAGGUGCUAAAGUAUUUUAUGGCACAUAUUCUUAUGUGAUAUGGCUUAGAUAAGUUCAGAACUCUAUUCAGAACAUCCAGUCUUAGAAUAAGGGUUGAUAAGUUAUUUUGACAAAAAUCUGUUUACCUUCCAAAAAUGCAUACAUGCAGGACAAUCAGUGCAAACAAUGGACAGAGAAGAUAGUGAGUAAGAGAUUAAUUCAGAGAUCCUCAGUCAAAGAAAUAGUUCCACAUACUUUUUUAUUUUGUUUUGAGGAUAGGUAUGAUCCUACAAAGAAAUUUGCCACAAUCUUUUGAUAUUUAUGCAAAGGAGAACAGUUGACAGUAGAUAACAAUUUGAAUGCAGGCCUAAAUCAGGGGACAAUAAAACAUCACAGUAUAAGGAAGGCAUAGGUAUGCCAGCGUUAGCAAUGUCUAAAACCUACUCCGAAUUUGUGGUCACAGCACAAGGGAUAAAAUAGCAAUGUAGAAUUAGUAUGAUUUAAGAAAAUCGUAUAUGUGUCUUGACCUGCAGCUGACACCAGUUUAAAUUAUGCUGAAGAAUCAACUCUGACUCCUCAAUGCUACCAAAAUACUUUCUCCUGCAAACAAUGGAAUUAUCUCCUCCCACACAUACCAAGAUUCACUGGAAGUUCAAUGUAACUCAGCACAUGAAAGUAUUUGGGCAACAUUCAUUUCAUAUUUGUAAGUUGAAGUAAUAACAAGGAAAGGAGCUCUCUUGGGGACGGAUACGAAAUGUUCUGUGCUACCAAGAAAUGGAAAGAGGAAACUUGUAGAUGAUAAAGAUAAAAGUGCAAGAUGUACUGAAUGUCCUAAAGGGAAAGUAUACCCUGCAAAGCCCUCUGCUCGGCCAAUGUCUGUUGUCUGUUCUUUCUCUGGAGCUUUACUCACUAGAGAGCAUUACUCACUUAUAAAGUGAUUUAAGUGCAGGCCUCUUUGUCUUGUGGGUUUAUACAUUGGCUUUAGUCCUGUGUGCUUCUUAAUUUAAAUGCUAACUGAGAUCACAAAUGUCAUUGGGAGGUUUGUUCCCAAACAACCCUCUUGCCACUCAAGCCGCUUUGUAGCCUGAACUUUCCAGACAGGAGGUGUCUCUGGCCUUAUGAACACAAGAAUGUAAACCUGGAGAGAAGCCCCUCCAAGGAAGUGUUAUAGAAAUGCGAUUACCAGACACUGAGGUUUUUUAACGUAUAAAAUAGGAAAGAGAGAGGACAAGCUGUGGUGAAGAAAAUGCAAGCAUUGUACAACUCAACAGACCUCCUGUCCCAGAGAGAUUUAUUUACUGGAAAUUACGACAAUGAUUUAUGGGCAGCUGGAAUUUGCAUGCAUUGCUCCGAAUCUGUGGAAGAAUCUAUGUGGUUGUUCAUGGCCUUCAGAAACAUGGAUGCUGCAAAGCAGAGCUAUGGAGAAUAUGGAAAGCAGGCUCAAAAAGCAUCUGCAAAUCUGUGCCAAUAUUAUUGCCUCUGUCAUCAAGCAAUGGAAAGGUUUUUCUAGUUAAAUUCAAACUGUUUAAGUCAGACAGAGGUACAUGCCCGCUUCACCCUGAGCCCUUCUGCGAAUGGUCAGAAACAGAAUACUGUGUGAUCUCAAAAAGAUUCAGAGCAAACAUGGAAGACAGUUAUGUUUAAAUGACACUCUGGUUGGGCAGGCACUGAACGCAGUAACAGUUUCAACAUAGACACCUUAAACCUUCCAGUAUUCUAUUUUAGGUUUGUUCUUCAUUCUUGCAUCACAGCAGGAGUUGUACCCUUUAUCAGUGUUGAUGUCUUCUUAAAAGAGGGUCUGUGACCGCAUUUGAAGUAUCUCUACUACCAGUUGUGGUGAUUUCACCCUGAUGUGCAGCUAAACUACUACAUCAUUCUCCUGUUACUCCUACUCAAAGGAAGAGGGGGAGAAAAUGAAAUGAAAAAAGGCUCAGGGUUUGAGAUUACCGUCACUGAUCAGUGAUUAUGAGAAUAAAUAAACAUAGUGUGGAAAAAUCUUUGUAUAGUCAUUAAAAUACCCAAGUGUGGCAUUCUAGUAGAGAUUUAAUAAGGAGAAGAAACUGACCCUCAGACUUAGGAAUUCAUUUUCUUUACUUUUCUACAAGGACAGACAUACAUCUCUCUAUCUAAUUUAUAUAUACAUACGUAUAUAUAAAGCAAAGCUUUUAAAGAAUUUUUAUUUAUCAUUGUAAAAUCUCUACUUAGAAUUGGAAAGAGAUAGAAAAAAAAAAAGUAGACUUUGAUUAUCACCUUGAUACAUCUAAGUGUUUACAGUGGGAGCUAAGCUGUAGCAUAGCAAUGUAAUAAAAAUAGAAAGUAAAGUGACGUAAAAAGUGCACUGAGGACUACCUUAUAACUAAUUCCAAACGUUCAAGAAUAGUAAAUGGUUAACAGUGAUGCAAAAGGAAAUUACAGAAAAAACAAUCAAAAAGGACUCCUAAACAAUGAAAGGAAACAAAAAAUUAAUAAAGCAGAAGACUGAAAAACAGAUAAGGAGAGCAAAACGGUGAAAGAUUUCACAGAAGAUUAUGAAAUUAGCACAAAAAAUUUUUAAACAAUCCUAAGAAUAAACUGUCAUUGAAGAACAGAAUAGGGAUUGUGGAGGAUCAUUUUUUAAGGGAUGAGGUAAAAAAAGAUGGAAAAUUUAAACAAAUUCUUCGCAUAGCUGUUCAGAAAGAAAUGUCAGCUCGCAGAGCUGUAGAAAUAUAGGUACAUAUUUUCUGGAGCAAAAGGAAGGAUAAAACACCUAAGUAAACACACACUGUAUGUGACAUAGUACAGAUGACAAUCUUAGCAUGUAUCACAUAAAAUAAUUUCUCAGUGCUAAAGCAUAUGCACUUCAGAAUUCACAGAAAGGGACAAAAAACAGCAUCACUCUUCACAAGACUAAUUUACAUCACUUCACCAUUCAGAUAACUUUUCCUUUUCAAAAUGUUGCUUUGAAGUCACAUGGGCUACUUACAUGACUGACAACUCUAGGACUGCAGUGAAAAAGAAGUUUCAGUGGAAUUAAAGAAAAAGUAACGGGAAGUGUGCAGGAGGUAUCUGUGCAAAGAAGGGCCCCAUGCAACUCCUCUCACAGCUUGCCUCUAAAAACUCAAGAACUGGGUUUAAAUGAGAGAAACACCUUGUCUUUCUGGCAAGUUUUAGCAAUGCCUUCUAUGCAGGAAAGCAAUUUGCUUCAAGACCAAACAGAAAUGCACACUGGUUAAGAGUGAUAUAUUACAAAAACAACAGAGUAUAGCUAAAUUCAGCAAAUUAUGAAGCAAUGGCUAUUUCAGUGAGAGUCAGAGAUUCGUCUAAUGAGAUCCAGGAGUUUCAGCUCUGAACAAAAAGUGAUGAAUUCAAGCUUAAAUUCCUACAAGUAACCCCUAUUCUACAUUAAAGGUAACCAUCCAUCACAUUUUUAACUACAUCUACAAGGGAGUUCAGUAACUUCAGUCUAAAAAAUUCAAAACACAGACAUAUUUUCAGCCAAAACAAAGCCAGAGCCAGCAGUAAUUUUAAUUCUUUUCACUAAGUAUUGUUCUGGCCAUAAGACUAUGUGUAAAAUGGAUGUGGUUGAAGCCACAAUGGACUGUAAGGUUUAUAGGAUGAACAAGUUGCUAAGGAAGAGCUUGCAUGCCUAAAAACUUACAUUAUUCCAGCUGGAGUGCAUCCUGUAACAACAGUACUUCUUUAUUCUUCCAUAUCUUCCCUAAAAAGCUGAGCGCUCUGGCUGAAGACAGGCCAGGAGAGGCGCAUGGAUGUUUGCCUUCUUCAUGUUGCCUGAAAACCUAGUCCUUGUCUCAUCUGGGAACAGGACAGUCAUGCCAAGUGGAUGCAUCUCCCUGCAUCUGUGGAGAGACAGCAAAUGUGCUGUCUGGAAAGUAUCUGUGUUCUAGGAGGUGAGAAACUGGCUUGGGCUGUUUGAUUUCACUUCUACUCAGAGAAAUGGGGCAAUGAACUUUCUAAUAAACAGGUUUGGUUCACAGAGGGAUGACUCCACCAUCGAUCAUUCCACCAGAGGAAUAACUCAAGAUUCGAAAAUUUUAACCAGAUAAUUUUAUCAAAAGAAUAAUAAAAAAAAAAAAAAAAAAAAAAAAAAAAAAAAGGACCAAGUAAUGACUUAAAACAAUUGCUGUGAUAUUACAUCUACAUAGGAUCUACUGGCCUAUAUGUCAGUUUUAAUCUGCCACUGGUUAAAUCCUACAUACUGAGCAAAAUAACUUACCAACACAAUACAUGCAAAGUAAAUAAAUACUCAAGCAACACUCUAUGUCCCACAUCCACUCAGAUACCAGAAGUGUGUAUUUCCAGUCUGUGAAAUACAAUGAUAAGUAAAAACAGUGAUUCUCCAUGAGUGCAUUACUCAGAAGAAGCAAUGUUAAGGCAGUCAGUGUGAUCUUUAAAAAUCACUCCCAGUAAAUAAAUAAAUAAGCACCUCUACCUGCACAGCUAUCUGAAGACAAGUUAACAAAUUCUGUUUUCCACUUAUUAGCAAAUCAGUUGUUCUGUAAAGAAUACAUGAUCAAAACCUACAGCAACAGCUGGCACAUGUAUAAAGCGGGGCAAAAAAAUUAAGAUGAAGUAUUUCUGACAAAAAAAUAUAUGAAACAAAACAAAGUUGAAAACUGAAGCAGAUAUCAGAUAACCAUUUUGUCAUUUAUAAAAUACUUUUUCAGGACAAAAGGGGUUGCCAUACCUUUUCACUCAGCAUAUCCUCAGAGUCACAUAUUAAGCUGAUCAAAUCCGAGGGUACUGCAGUAAGCUGAAGCUUGAAGCUGCCUCCACUUCCUUCAUUUCGUUUACAGUUUUGUUUGGGGGUUGUUCUUUUUUUUCUUUUUAGCUUGCAGAAACCUGAGGGAAAAAAAUAUUUUGGGGGUUACUAUCGAAAUAGUUUAUUCAGUAGUCAAUUAACUGAAAAAAACAAAUAGUUCUAAACUGAUCUCUUAUAUACCAUGCCCCUUUUUAUAUCAUAGUUAUUGGUUCCAUUCUGUUGUUAUAUUUUACUGAAAACAUUAUGAAUAUAAAUGAGAAUAGUGCACAAAGAGCAGAGGUGAAGAUAUGUCCCAUUAGAAAUCUGCUUUUUUACUUACAUUUACUGAGGUUAUCAAGUACCUCUUUAUGAACUCUUCAUCCCUUUCUAAAAGGUAAAGUUGAAAUUGGGAAAUAUAUUGCAUCAGUUAUUGGGCAUUCUGGGGUUUUCCAUUAUUUUAAAAACCUCCUAUGUGCCUAAUUAUAGCUAAUAAGUACUGUUUAGAAACAUAGCAGAGAACUCAUGAUUUCCUUCUUCACCCAAUGCCCAGAAAAUCCAUGUCCGAGAACAAAAUCUUGAAGGUAUUUGUGAUCAUGACCCAUUCUCAUUAUCUGUAUCCAUUCUAAGAUUUUUAUAUUAUAUGAAUGAAUAUUUUAAAGUGAAAUUAUAGUAUUCAAUGGCAAAUUACAACUACAUGUGACCAAGAGAGGAUUAAACCCAUCAUUUUGCUUAAGAGCUCUGAUGGCUGGAGUAAUUGGAUGAUAGCUGUAGGGCAUCUUUUUGGUCUGUAAUUAGGUCAUUUCUUUCUCAUCCCUUCACUGUGUGUAUAAUUACGAAUUAAUUUGAAAUCCCACUGUGAGUAAAGAAAGUCAGUUUAAUAUAACGGAAGUGCAAAAGCCACAAUAUAUUACUUUUUAAAAACUGCUUAUUUCAAAAUACUCAGUCUGGCCAAAAGUUAUAUCCCUAUGUACUGCAAGGCUUAUAUUUGGUUUCUUUGCUAACUUUGUACAAGUGCUGCUCUGAAAGUAAUGCCUCCUGUUUUAUUAUGUUGGUGUGCAAUGUCAGAGGUGGAUUUUGGUGGUACAUCAGGAGAGGUUGAACCUUCACACCAGUAUUCCACUACAUUUUGUUGCUGUGUGACAGAUGGCAGCAGAGGGUCAGUCUGACAAAAUGGCUUCUGACACGGAAGCAUCUGAGAAGAAAAGAUGUGGAACUGAAUUCCUCCAUGUGGUAAAAAAAUUGCAUCCAUUGACUUUCACUGAUGCUUGCUGAACAUUUAUGGAGAUCAAACAGUGGAUGUGAGCUCAGUGAGGUUGUGGGUAAUGUGUUUCAACAGCAGUGAUAGUGGCAGUGGUUCACCUCCACCGGUGCAAAUUUUUACAAGAACAGCAAGCAGGUUCUCGUUCAUCGUUGGCAAAAAUGCAUAGCUAAUGACAGUGAAUAUGCAGCAAAAUAAAGUUUGUAUUUGAGAAUUUUCUCUAUGAAAUAGUGUUAUUGUGCUCUUUGUAUUUGUUGCAGUUUCUAUGGAAAUAAACAGCAAGUAUUACUUUUGAAUCAAUCUACGUUCCUGGAUGUAUUUUCUCUCUUAAAAUAAAUGAAUUUUCAAAGCACCACACUUUGCUCCAGUAUCUGUCAGUAGGUGUCAACAGCACAAAAAGGUAGUGGAAAGAAAUAAAAAGUAACCAUGAGAGUCUUGACAGACAGUAUUAGCAUCAGAGAACUUAGAGGCCACUCUCAACACAGUCAACCAUUUUAUCCUUUAGUCCUGCCAUUAUUUCCUUCCACUGAAACUACCUUUCUGCUUUUACCCUGAAAGUGUUAAACACUG
ensembl:lncRNA